GAUGAACGCUAGCGAUAGGCCUAACACAUGCAAGUCGAGGGGCAUCACAUGAAGUAGCAAUACGGAUGGUGGCGACCGGCGCACGGGUGAGUAACACGUAUGCAACCUGCCUUCAACAAGGGGAUAACCCGUUGAAAGACGGACUAAUACCCUAUAACACAGGGGUCCCGCAUGGGAAUAUUUGUUAAAGGACAACCGGUUGAAGAUGGGCAUGCGUUCCAUUAGCUAGUUGGCGGGGUAACGCCCACCAAGGCAACGAUGGAUAGGGGAACUGAGAGGUUUAUCCCCCACACUGGUACUGAGACACGGACCAGACUCCUACGGGAGGCAGCAGUGAGGAAUAUUGGUCAAUGGACGCAAGUCUGAACCAGCCACGUCGCGUGAAGGAAGACGGCCCUACGGGUUGUAAACUUCUUUUGUAAGGGAAUAAAGUGUAGUACGCGUACUAUUUUGCAUGUACCGUAUGAAUAAGGAUCGGCUAACUCCGUGCCAGCAGCCGCGG
rnacentral:rRNA from 1 species